rnacentral:misc_RNA from 1 species
CAGAGUUCAUGCCCGAAAGGGUAGACCUCCCACCCGUGUACAGUAUACUUUGUUGCUUCGGCGGGCUGCUGAAAAGCCCUGGCUUCGGCUGGGCCGUGCCCGUCAAAGAACCCCAAACUCUAUCUAUUAGUGUCGUCUGAGUACUAUAUAAUAGUUA